UGGGGAAUCUUAGACAAUGGGGGAAACCCUGAUCUAGCCAUGCCGCGUGAUCGAUGAAGGCCUUAGGGUUGUAAAGAUCUUUCAGCUGGGAAGAUAAUGACGGUACCAGCAGAAGAAGCCCCGGCUAACUCCGUGCCAGCAGCCGCGGUAAUACGGAGGGGGCUAGCGUUGUUCGGAAUUACUGGGCGUAAAGCGCACGUAGGCGGAUUGGUAAGUUGGGGGUGAAAUCCCAGGGCUCAACCCUGGAACUGCCUCCAAAACUCCCAGUCUUGAGGUCGAGAGAGGUGAGUGGAAUUCCGAGUGUAGAGGUGAAAUUCGUAGAUAUUCGGAGGAACACCAGUGGCGAAGGCGGCUCACUGGCUCGAUACUGACGCUGAGGUGCGAAAGCGUGGGGAGCAAACA
rnacentral:rRNA from 1 species